rnacentral:rRNA from 1 species
AUUGAACGCUGGCGGCAUGCCUUACACAUGCAAGUCGAACGGCAGCACGGGAGCAAUCCUGGUGGCGAGUGGCGAACGGGUGAGUAAUAUAUCGGAACGUGCCCAGUAGUGGGGGAUAGCCCGGCGAAAGCCGGAUUAAUACCGCAUACGACCUGUGGGUGAAAGCGGGGGAUCGCAAGACCUCGCGCUAUUGGAGCGGCCGAUAUCAGAUUAGCUAGUUGGUGGGGUAAAGGCCCACCAAGGCGACGAUCUGUAGCUGGUCUGAGAGGACGACCAGCCACACUGGAACUGAGAGACGGACCAGACUCCUACGGGAGGCAGCAGUGGGGAAUAUUGGACAAUGGGGGCAACCCUGAUCCAGCGAUGCCGCGUGUGUGAAGAAGGCCUGAGGGUUGUAAAGCACUUUAGUUGGGGAGGAAGAAUCCAGAGAUGAAUAAGCUAUGGAAAUGACGUUACCCAAGAAUAAGCACCGGCUAACUACGUGCCAGCAGCCGCGGUAA